GCCCGUAUAGCACAGUGGCAGUGCGUCUCCCUCGUAAGGAGAAGGCCCCAGGUUCAAUCCCUGGUGCGGGCA